GCUGGAAUAGCUCAGUUGGUAGAGCGCAUCACUCGUAAUGAUGAGGUCCGGGGUUCGAUUCCCCGUUCCAGCUCCA
rnacentral:tRNA from 1 species